rnacentral:rRNA from 1 species
AGCGAACGUUGGCGGCAGGCUUAACACAUGCAAGUCGAACGAGAAGCCACCUUCGGGUGGUGGAAAGUGGCGAACGGGUGAGUAAUACUUGGGAAUCUGCCCUGGAGUGGGGGACAACGUUUGAAAACAGACGCUAAUACCGCAUAAUCCAUAUUGGGAAAGCUUUAGCGCUCUAGGAUGAGCCCAAGCCUGAUUAGCUAGUUGGUAAGGUAAAAGCUUACCAAGGCGACGAUCAGUAGCUGGUUUGAGAGGAUGAUCAGCCACACUGGAACUGAGACACGGUCCAG